GUAGGUGGCAAGCGUUGUCCGGAAUUAUUGGGCGUAAAGCGCGCGCAGGCGGUUCUUUAAGUCUGAUGUGAAAGCCCACGGCUCAACCGUGGAGGGUCAUUGGAAACUGGAGAACUUGAGUACAGAAGAGGAAAGCGGAAUUCCACGUGUAGCGGUGAAAUGCGUAGAGAUGUGGAGGAACACCAGUGGCGAAGGCGGCUUUCUGGUCUGUAACUGACGCUGAGGCGCGAAAGCGUGGGGGAGCAAACAGGAUUAGAUACCCUGGUAGUCCACGCCGUAAACGAUGAGUGCUAAGUGUUAGGGGGUUCCCGCCCCUUAGUGCUGCAGCUAACGCAUUAAGCACUCCGCCUGGGAGUACGGCCGCAAGGCUG
rnacentral:rRNA from 1 species